AACGAACGCUGGCGGCAGGCUUAACACAUGCAAGUCGAGCGCCCCGCAAGGGGAGCGGCAGACGGGUGAGUAACGCGUGGGACUCUACCCAUCUCUACGGAAUAACGCAUGGAAACGUGUGCUAAUACCGUAUACGUCCUUCGGGAGCAAGAUUUAUCGGAGAUGGAUGAGCCCGCGUUGGAUUAGCUAGUUGGUGGGGUAAAGGCCUACCAAGGCGACGAUCCAUAGCUGGUCUGAGAGGAUGAUCAGCCACACUGGGACUGAGACACGGCCCAGACUCCUACGGGAGGCAGCAGUGGGGAAUAUUGGACAAUGGGCGCAAGCCUGAUCCAGCCAUGCCGCGUGAGUGAUGAAGGACCUAGGGUUGUAAAGCUCUUUCACCGGUGAAGAUAAUGACGGUAACCGGAGAAGAAGCCCCGGCUAACUUCGUGCCAGCCGCCGCGGUAAAAC
rnacentral:rRNA from 1 species